CUUUCCUACCUGGUCUUCUAGGAAGCGGCUGCUGCCCUAGACGCUGGCUCCUCAGUAGCAUCAGCACGAGGGCCACAGCGGCGGGCGCCCCUGGCGCUGCCCACUCCCCCGUGAGCCGCGGGAUGUGAACCACGAAAACCCUCACUCGCGGCGGGCCGCACGCGCGCCGAAUCCGGAGGGUCACCAAGAACCUGCGCACCAUGUUCUCGCCGCCUCCAGGGCCGAGCUCGGCAGCCGCUGCGCCGCCCUUUGGCACCAGAGAUUUGGAAAACAAGCGAAAUUAAACUAAACCGCUGCACGCCUCUGACGCGACAUCUGGACACGGCGCGGCGCUGGCGCUGCCGGAGCUGUCGACCCGGCCUGGCGCCGGACUAGCUGGGAGACAGGAAAAGCGGUCCUGUUUGGGAACAGUAAAAGCAGGGCAAGGAAAGGAAGGAGCGGCAGAAAGGAGGGGUGAGUCGAGGACACAGGGGCAGCCGGAGAAUGCGGAGGAGCCGGGUCCUGAGCGCGGUCUAAGCGAGGCUCGGCUCUCGUCCAGGAACUCGGACGCGGGCUCGCCGGCUCUCCGCGCGCGGGAAGUCGAGCCCAGGACGCCGCCUUCAGGCCGGCGCGCUGACCCGGUGCCCCGACCCGGAGCCUGCGGUCUGCCUGGAUCCGUCCUAAACCUCGCGGGCUGGACCCGCGGCCUGAGUGGGUGGGUGUGUGCCAGAGGAUUCGGGACUAGGCCCAGCUCCGGGAACCUGGAAAUGUGGCCCGCUUCUCAGUGGCUUCCUGUUCAUGCGCUUGGGCCUAGUGGCCUAGUUGAAGAAGUGGAACCACAGCGUGAGCCGACAGGGCCUUACAGAUCAGACGUCAAGCCCCCCAGACCUUACAGGGGAGGAAAGUGAGGCCUGCACUGGCCGAGCCACCCACUUAAGGCGGUGCGGUAGCCUAGAGGAGCGGCAGACUUCUCUUUCCCCAUCCCCCGCCCCAUCACUUGACGUUGCUGCCGGACCUCGGUACAAACCCAAGACAAAACGGGGCCCUUUGGAAAAAGUGAGAUUUAGCGAUCACUCUUACGUAGCCACUCUAAAUAUCUAUCUAGAUAUUUACAAAUGCACCUCCCCGGUAGGUAGAUUUCACUCAGAAUUUACCCAACACCGUGCUUUGUGCUGGGGCCACAUGCCACCUUUCUGUCUAGUAUGGCUGCUCUUUCUCCCUCUUCGCAAAUAUAGCUCUUUUUCCUUCAGGUCUCUUCUGAAGUAAGUAGCCCUUCCUCAGAAAUGCUUCCCUUUUCAGGCACCCUCAUACCACCGUGAUUUUUUUCUUUAUAGCACUUAGGACGAAGAGAUUAUUUUACUUAUGUACUUGUUUACUUGUUUGUUGUGUAGAAUGUCAGCUCUAUGGGAACCAGAUCCUUUUAUGGGUCUUCCUCUGCACCUAUGCCACGCCCCCAGCAUUCCCCUCCUACCACCACCUUCAGCCGGCCUCCGCCUCUGUAGGGGGGCAUUAGGUUUUCUGUCCCACAGAGGAAGGGCGCUUUAGAAAGGGUUAGUUCAUCCUGGAAGAAAAACGAUGUCGGAUGCCAGCAUAGUGUCAUUUAAAGAUACUGGAGGAAUGGAGUGGGAGCGGUGAGGGUUUCUUGGGCCUAGACAAUGUAACUAGUUGUUGCAAUAAAGCAUGGUGGGGAAAGGAGAAAAGGCACGUAUUAAACAUCUUUUGAAGUCGCUAUCUAUAUCAGUCAGUUCUCCAGGGAAACAGAACCCAUUGUGUGUGUGUGCGUGCCAGUACCACACAUAUGUAUAUGUAUAUACACACCGUCAUGGGGUUGCUUAACAACAGGGAUACAUUCUCAGACAUGUAUCUUUAGGCGAUUUCAUUGUUGUGCAAACAUCAUAUACAAACCUAGGUGGUAUAGUCUAUUAUACAUCUAGGCUGUAUGGUAUGGGCUAUUGCUCCUAGGCUGCAAACCUUUACAACAUGUUACUAUACUGAAUACUGUAGAUAAUUGUAACAAAAUGUAGUUUUAUAUCUAAA
rnacentral:lncRNA from 10 species